UUUGAAUUUUCAUCUCUUAAUACUAAAUUUUUCAGAACGUUAUUGCGUAUCUCUAUUACAACGUUAGUAUUACGUUACAUUGUAACGUUAUUCCACAACGUAACAACAACGUUGCAAAUUAACGUUGUGAUAACGUUAUGCUUUGGACAUUACAACUCUUUUUUGUAAAUGAUGUUUAGGAAACCACUUGUAGAUCUACCAUCUCGUAGUUUUAUUUUUUUAAAACAUAUUUAUCUAUGAACGCUGUUAUCUGUCUACUAAAUGUUGUCACAAGCAAAAUUACAGUUAAAAACACAUUGGCGCGCAUUUGUUGCGGCGUGAGAGCGACUGCUGAAAAGUUUAGCCUGUUGCCUCGUGAAGUGACGUCAAAAUGACGUCACAUUGUCGCGGAAGAUUUGUUGUCACCAGCCAUCUUAGUUCAAGCACAAUCUGGAUAUAUUACAACCAAGUGAUUGUGCAGCAACGGGAACUGGACAGAUGAUCUGUGAAUUCGGAUAAGCAAGGGGGAAAAUGUUACACGACCAUUCCAGGAGAUAAAAUCAAGAAUGUUGAAUCAUUGAGGAACACACCAAUUAAACCCUGGGCUGUGAAUUAUGUUAACGGAAGUGGAAGUGAACACCAAAGAAAGAAGAUUCUGGCAUUCAAUAAUUUCGAAUAGUGUAUAAAUUUUCUAUAAUCUAAAAAUAAUAAAAUGUCAACGCAAA